rnacentral:rRNA from 1 species
GAUGAACGCUGGCGGCGUGCCUAAUACAUGCAAGUCGAGCGAACAGACGAGGAGCUUGCUCCUUUGACGUUAGCGGCGGACGGGUGAGUAACACGUAGGUAACCUACCUAUAAGACUGGGAUAACUUCGGGAAACCGGAGCUAAUACCGGAUAAUAUUUCGAACCGCAUGGUUCGAUAGUGAAAGAUGGCUUUGCUAUCACUUAUAGAUGGACCUGCGCCGUAUUAGCUAGUUGGUAAGGUAACGGCUUACCAAGGCAACGAUGCGUAGCCGACCUGAGAGGGUGAUCGGCCACACUGGAACUGAGACACGGUCCAGACUCCUACGGGAGGCAGCAGUAGUGAAUCUUCCGCAAUGGGCGAAAGCCUGACGGAGCAACGCCGCGUGAGUGAUGAAGGUCUUCGGAUCGUAAAACUCUGUUAUUAGGGAAGAACAAACGUGUAAGUAACUGUGCACGUCUUGACGGUACCUAAUCAGAAAGCCACGGCUAACUACGUG